CUAAAAAUCAAACAGUUUGGCAAUCGGUCCAAAAUUCGGCGAAUAAUUCCACUUUUAGAUUCAGCAGUACCUCUCUCCUCCAUAGAUUUCUAUGCACCGCUGCCUCGGCUGGCCCCGGUCCAAGAUGGCGGCGCUGCAGGCACAUCGCUCGAGUGGGCAACCGCAGUCAAUGAGGCGUCUACGUAUAUAUGUCUAUGGCUGAGAGGCGGUAAAUAGGAGCUGACUUCCAGUAGUGGCAAGACGGGGAUUUCACAUUGGAACGCCAGCACGGUGGAUGUGGCUAAUAUCUGACCAUGGUGAAGUCGUGUGCUGCCAUCUCCUGCACCAGUCGAUUUGUAAUAUUUCCUUUCAUAAGUUUCCCAAGCAGUCCAAGGACAGCACACUGAGAGAUCAAUGGAUACAGGCCAUCAGUAGAGAAGCGGUGAGGACCAAGAGGAGAUGAUCAUAAUUAUGUCUGCAGCAACCAUUUCAGGGAGGAGGACUUCAUCCUCUCAAAACAUGCUCAACACAAGCUUCUCAGGCCAGGGGCUGUACCAUCCCUCAAUCUGGGGAAACCAGAGAAAAAGAUCGCAGUGAGGACAACCCAAAGCAGCCCGGCAGCAGUGGCAUUAUACCAGCACAUCGACAUGGAGUCUGAACUAGAGCCUGAAGAGGACAGUGCUGCUGUUACAGAAGACCAUGCAUACUGUACAGACAUCGACACCCUGAAAAGGAAAUAUGACGAUCUAAUUGUACAGCUUGAAAAGCUAAGGCAGGACUUCAACAAUGCCAAACGUGGAGGGAAGCGCUGCAGAGUGACGUUGGAGGCCAUGUUAGCUAAAACCAAGGAAAUACAAGCCCUGUCUGAUGAUGCUCAUUCCAUGCUUGAUGCAUAUAAAGGUAUUCCUUGUUUAGAAGUACAUAUGAGUGACAUCCAGCAUAUGUAAAUAUAAUUAUGUAACUGCACAUUGCUCACCCACACAGUGCACUAGAACUGAGAUCAAUGUUUGUUAAUGCUUCAUGAGAUGAUGACUGGUUCACAGAUAACUGUACUUUUGCCUUCCACAACGUUAUCUAAACAAUUUUGCGGCUGUGAUACCCAACAUUCAUGUGGAAACUAUCUAAGCUAUUAACUAUGUUUGAUCACACUUAAUUUUCAAUUACAGGUAAAUUGAUGUUGAUAGACCCUGUUUCUUUACCAGAAUAAUGUCAUUUGUUUGUAACUCCCCAACACCUGAAAUUGGGACAUAUAUACAACACGCAUUUAGGUUGAAUAUUUAUGAAAAUUGCAAAUUAAACUCAAAGGGGCUGACUGAACUUUGAUGGUUCCUCAUGAAGCAUGAUGUGCUGUAUAAAUGCCGUCCACAUACUGCAAUCUGCCUGAAAGUUUGUGAUUGAUCACAGUCCUGCAGUGAUGACAUCCAUAUGCCAAUGUGCACUCAGUCAUAGCAUCACCUGCUGUAGAGGAAAUUACAUGUUUUACACUUUAAUGUUGUACUAUACUUUUAAUAAAUUUAUCUGCACUUUUUUUUAAUUUACUUUAAAUUAACUUCUUUUCUAUUGGUUGUUGCAAUUAGUGUCUGACAUGCUUUUAUUUUUUCUAUUUCUUGUCUUCUUUUGGCUGUUUUACUCAAUCAGUUUUAAUUAUUCUCGAAAUGAGUGUCCAUUGUAUUCAAUGAACCUUUUCUGAUUAAAGUGACUUCAUUUUUUAUUACACUACUUUAUUUUUUACAUUUUACUCUGAAAAACCUCUGUGUGUGUUAAGGUACUACAUAAAUGCUUGAUUUCUUGCUCAAGAACUUUUUUGCAAGCUGUUCUUGUUGACGUGUUUGUGGAACUUUCAUGAAAGUUCUUUGACAUUUCAGGUCUCAGUCAUCUGCUUCACAUUUAACAGAACAAAAGCAAAUUAAGCUUUUCAUACGAUCUUAAUUUGUUCAUUGUUUUGAAUUCCACAGCUGACUUACAAAUAGAAUAGCUGAAGCUUUGUUUUGAGGCAACCAGAAGAUUUGUGUGUUCUGACUGCAAGAAUUGCUCCUCCAGAAACUUUUUAUGGCCAUUUUUGUGGGAGGAAAAAAGCAACCAUUCCAGGGUAUGUGGGUCUGAGCAGCUGUGAAAAACCACCGUGCAGGUUUUGAAGCUGAUUAGUUUAGCUUGUCGAUGACAACAUGCACACGUUUUCUGCCCUGUUGAUAUCCUUGUGAAUUUUCCAUCCCUCUUUACAAUAAAACAUAAUUUGGAA